UGAUGGAUGGGGCAGGGGAAGAAAGUCCUGGAAGAUCCCGCACUGCUAAGCAAUGCUUUGUCCCAAAGUAACGCUCUUCACUCUGCUCCCAGCCUAGCUGCCGCAAGAGCGGAACAGAAUAUUCUGUGUGCUCAGGAGAAGAAAAGAGCAGAUAUGGUUGAGCACUAAAACCCUCUACUGUGGGUAGUGAACCUAGGUGGACACAGUUGCUCACCGGGACACUUAAACCAGCUUUGCGGGGCUGUCGGGGUUGGGAAGCACAGUCUGGAAAGAUUUCCCAAUGGAGGAAGCACCAAUUGUGGGUCCCUGAAGCUGAGGGGAUGAUGCCCAGGCAAGGCCGAGGCAGUCUGCAGAGGGCUGGGGAGGUGGGAAAGACGAUUUUGCUCAGAGGAGGCAGAGAUGGGGUGGUGGCUGAGAGAGAUGCAGGGUCAAGGAAAGGAUGGCUUCAGAGAGGAGAGAUUUGCUGGGGCAAAAGGCCACAGGAUGGGGAGGCUGCGGGGUCCAAGAGGACAGCUGAUGGAGCGAGACCCUGCAGGCAAGGAGGAGAUGGGGUGACUCAUGGCAGAAUCGCACCAGAGUUCCCACAGCCCUGUGCGGCCACUAUGACUAGUCCCAUCCUGUACAUGGAGAAAACGAGGCUCCUUCCAGUUGUCCCUCACGCCUCCCUUGAUUUAUGUACUACCUGAUGUGUAUAAGGACAGGUGGUGACAAACACAUGGUCCCUACCCUUCAAGGACAUAUAAUCCAGAGCUAAGACAAGACCUUAACACAGGGCAAAGUACUAUGCUCUGAGUUCAUUUGAUGAGCGAUGGGAGAACGGGCUUGAUCCUAGCCAUGCGGGAGAGACUGGAAUUCAAGAGAGUCAAAUGUGCUGGGAAAGACUUUCUGGGCAAAAGGAAUAAGCAAAGGUGUGCAAAGGUAAGGAAGCAGGAAACCUUUGCACAUCUUGAGAACUCGCCGGCCAGAGGCCUGUGAAGGAGCGCAGUGGUCAGGCAGGAGAGGCAGUCGGAUGCAGGCUGAGACCAUCCUGGAGGGUCUUGAGGCUGGCUUACCCCAGGCUGUGAGUAGUGGGCUCAGCCUAGUCCCGGCUCCUGGGUUAGUGCUCACGUGUCUCUCUGCCCCCUCAGGGCCUGGAGGAAUGGCCUUAGAGCCCCCACCAACCACGCUCAGGAAGGCAUUCCUAGCUCAGAGUACCCUCCUGGAGUCUACACUGGAAGGGGCUCCUGAGUGGGCCGCGCCACACCCCGAGGAGCAGAGGCGCAGUCCUCCCGCGUGCUCCCAGCACACUCCACCCCUACCCAGCACACCCACGGGGCCCCCACCUUGCUCACCUGGGGGGAACCACCCACUCUGCGCCCUCUCAGGGAGAGGUGGUGGCCGCUGCUCUAUCCCCUCCCUCUCUUCCUCUUCCACCUUCUCUCUCUUCUCAUCUGGGUGCUGGAACCCAAGGGUGAAACUGAGAGUCAGAAAGUCUCAGUCUCAAGGCAGAGCGGGGCAACUAAUUUAAAACGGCUUCUACUCCGGCCCCCAGUGUGACUAAUCUCCUUCUCUUCGCUCCACAGGUCUAUAAAUGGGCCACAGUAGGCACCCCUUUUUAAAUCUGUAAAAUCCCCAAAUCCAUUAAAAGUGACUUCAGAGGUCCCAGAUAGGGACCAACAUUUGUUUAAA
ensembl:lncRNA C3orf36 chromosome 3 putative open reading frame 36